CAGUCAAGGAUUUCUUUGCCUUUGUAGAGGGAAAGUUGUUCAGAUUGGCUUGUCUGCCAGGAAGGAAUUGAUGAAGGCCAUACUUAGCUGCUUUCAUGUUGUUUCUCUGGUUUAGAGUUCUUUCAAGAAUUGAUCUGGUAUAGGGUGUGAAUUUUGUAGGUCUAGUUUUGACCAUGCUCAGUAGGGUAACUGUAGCUGCCAUGGUCACCUGGCUGCAAUGUCUGUCACUCACAGAGGCCUUCUUUCUCACCACUGUUGGGACUGUGAACUGGUGCAGCCACUCUGGAAAUCGUUGUGAAGAUUUUCCAAAAGAUAAAAAUAGAGCUGCCAUAUGAUCCAUCUGUACCACUCCUGGGCAUAUACCCAAAAGAGCCUAUAUCCUGCUACAGGCAGAGGUGUCCACUCUAGUUCAUUGCAGCUUGAUUCACAUUAGCCAGGAAAUAGUCAGCCCAGAUGUCCAUUAACUGAUGAAUGGAUAAUGAAAGUGUAAUACAUAAACACAAUUGGAUUUUAUUCAGCUGUAAAGAAAAGGGAAUUUAAAAAGUAAAUGAAUGGAACUGGAAAAAAUUAUACCGAGUGAAGUAACUGGUGCCCAGAAGACAAAUGCUGCCCAUUCUCUGCCGCAUGUAGAUGUUAGCUUUGGAUCUGGAGAUUGUGUUUUAAACCUGAAGGUGCACAUAGAAGCCGCAGAACUAGAGAGGGAUGGUGCAUGCCUUGAGAGGGUAGUAGUAGAAUAUAUAUGAUCUCCAAGCAUGGGGCAGGAGUACUAUAGGUGGAAGGAAUGACAGUGGAGGUAUGGGGCCGUGGAGAGAGGAGGAAGAGCUGUUAACUGGUAAGAAGGGCAUGUGAGAAAACAAUAUGGGAGCCAACUGCUUUUCAAGCCAAUAAAAACAUACAUGAAACAGAGCGAGAUGAGGCAUGACUUCCACAACUGGAUAAUGGUCCUUAGUCCACUUUCAGGAGUGAGAUUCUAUGCGGGAGGUCCAGACUUCCCUAAAUCCACUUCUAGGAGUGAGGUUCUAUGCAAGACAUCCAGUUUUCCCUAAAUUCACUCCCAGGAGUGGGGUUCUAUGCAGGAGGUCCAGGCUUCCCUAAAUCUACUUCCAGGAGUGGGGUUCUAUGCAGGAGGUCCAGGCUUCCCUAAAUCCACUUCCAGGAGUCUGGUUUGAUGCAGGAGGUCCAGGCUUACUUAGCUCUCCAGGCUAUUCUUAUUCCUCUUAUGCAUCUACAGGAACUUAGUAAAUUGCCUUUAUCUUCCUUAUUUUACUUUACAGCAGUGUAAGUGUUUCUCACAGCAAGUUACUUAGUUUUACAUGUUGUAAUCUCAUUGGCAUUAUUUGAGAUUUCAAAUUUAAAAUAUAAACAAGUGUAUAGCAGAUGAUCAAUACACUGCUAUUCUUUGUUGCAUACCUCACUAAUAAGUCUUAGUGUGUACAGAAUAUUGAGGUUAUUAUACACAUACAAAAACUUUUUGGUGAGCCACAAUGGAAUAAUUAUUUGAAAAUUAAAAUCAUUAGUCAAAAUUACACACACAAAUUUUAAGCCCUAAGCUAUGUAUCAUGAGACAGAUGCCUUACCCAUCCUUCAUUGCGGAAAUGCACAUCUCUGCCAGGGAAGUCACUUGAGCUCUGAACUUCAGAUCUAUGAAUCUUUGUCCUGUCUAUGCUAAUGGAAGUUUUGUUUCUAAUUUGAUAUACACUUAGUUGCUUUGGAACUUAUCUUGGAGAUUGUUACUAUGUGAGUUUGGUAUAUCAACUUAUGCCUUGAAAAACAAACAUUGUUUUCUUUUGUAGGGAUUUAUACUUUUUUCAGAGGUACAAGGUGAAAUGCCUUGAUGUAGUUCUGAGUUCUGAUUUGAGAAUGUGUUCUAUUUAGUAAUGCUGAGUGUUGCUUAACUGCAACUGUUUGAGGUUGGUUGAACAUGAAAUGGUGAGCAUAAAUGUCUUAACAUUGAGCCCCAGCUAAGCUGUCCUCUGUGGUGCAUGACCCACGUGUAUGGCCCAUGUGUACGACCUGUGUGCAUGACCCGUGUGUCUGACCCAUGUGUAUGACCCAUGUGUAUGACCCAUGUGUAUGACCCAUGUGUAUGACCCAUGUGUAUGACCCAUGUGUAUGACCCAUGUGUAUGACCUGUAUAUGUUGAAAGCUGUACAGACAGAAAUGGAGAACUGAUCUGGGAUUACUUCCAUCAACUUCUCAGCUUGUCUUACCCACAGAUUUCUAGAAGUAGAAAAUAGCAGAGCAUAUUGCCAUCAGUGGUUAUAGACAAAGUGAGCUCUGUUAUAUUCCUUUUGGUAGACAUGCAAGAGAUCCAUAUUUAAUGUUUCUAUAGGAAAUAUCUUAUUAUAAAAUUAUGAUUUUAUAUUCAUUUUUGUUAACUUUGAACCUAUUUUCCUAUUUAUAUUAGGACAAAAAUUGUCUUUCAGUUUUGACAUUUUAUUCUUUUUAAUAUUAAAUUUUAAUUUUUUUGUGUAUGAGGGUCCUGUCUGCCUGUAUGCCUGCACUACAUGCAUGUCUUCAGAGCCUAGAAUAGGGCAUCAGAAUACCCAUGACUAUAGUUAUAGGCAUUUGUGAGCAUCUUGUGGAUGCUGGGAACUGAACCUUGGUCCUUUGGAAGAGUAGCUUUUAACUGUUAAUUUGCCUCUUCAGCCCCAGCUUCAAUACUCUUAAUGAAAUAUUGUUACCAAAUCUGAAAUAUGAGAAAAGUUAGUUACAACAGAAAGACCAUAUUCAACAAAGGCCAGUU
rnacentral:lncRNA from 1 species